rnacentral:tRNA from 2 species
GUGACUAUCGUCUAAUGGUAAGACAACGGUUUGUGGUACCGUGAACGAGGGUCCGAUUCCCUCUAGUCACCCCA